rnacentral:lncRNA from 1 species
AUUUUGUACAGACCAAACUCUAAGCUAUGUCUUUAACUCUAUCCCUGGUUCUAUUCAAGUCCAGCUGUAAUGCUGUAAUGUAAUCCUUAGCAUGAGAACUCUCUUGAUUUCCUUGAGCAUUGAGUAUGGGACAUUGAACUAUUCAAUGGAAAAUCUGUUCACUUUGCCAUGUGACAUAUUGCUGUCAAAAUCGAGAGCAAAAUUGGGCUAAUAUAUGAUCUUGCCUGGACGUGGACUAAGCUUGGUAGGCUGAGUCAAGAUGGUGGCUUUGAAGAAGCAAAAGUUCAGACAUCUGAAAAUCCUUCCUUACCGAUCACAACUGAAUGCUCCUAGGGGACUGAAAAUCAAACCUAACAACAAGACAGAGCCAAGGAACCCUCCUGCUGGACUCAAACCAAAAGUGCCAAAGCUGAGGAAGUGAAUUGACUGGUCCCAAUUUGUUGAGCAACUGUUCGAAGUAGAGAAGAUCAGAGAGAGCAAUACCAUUUGGUUCAGUCUCCCUAAUCUGUGAAGUGAAUACAAGUCUAAUCUCCAAGAUGAAAUUAAUUGCAUGGAAUAAGAAUCAACUCAGGU